GACGAACGCUGGCGGCGUGCUUAACACAUGCAAGUCGAACGGAAAGGCCCUGCUUUUGUGGGGUGCUCGAGUGGCGAACGGGUGAGUAACACGUGAGUAACCUGCCCUUGACUUUGGGAUAACUUCAGGAAACUGGGGCUAAUACCGGAUAGGAGCUCCUGCUGCAUGGUGGGGGUUGGAAAGUUUCGGCGGUUGGGGAUGGACUCGCGGCUUAUCAGCUUGUUGGUGGGGUAGUGGCUUACCAAGGCUUUGACGGGUAGCCGGCCUGAGAGGGUGACCGGCCACAUUGGGACUGAGAUACGGCCCAGACGCCUACGGGAGGCAGCAGUGGGGAAUAUUGCACAAUGGGCGGAAGCCUGAUGCAGCAACGCCGCGUGCGGGAUGACGGUCUUCGGGUUGUAAACCGCUUUCGCCUGUGACGAAGCGUGAGUGACGGUAAUGGGUAAAGAAGCACCGGCUAACUACGUG
rnacentral:rRNA from 1 species